rnacentral:rRNA from 1 species
GCCUGGGGACUACGGCCGCAAGGCUACAACUCAAAGGAAUUGACGGGGGCCCGCACAAGCGGUGGAGCAUGUGGCUUAAUUCGAGGCAACGCGAAGAACCUUACCCGGGCUUGACAUAUUCCGGACCGCCUGUGAAAGCAGGUUUUCCCUUCGGGGACCGGUAUACAGGUGCUGCAUGGCUGUCGUCAGCUCGUGCCGUGAGGUGUUCGGUUAAGUCCGGCAACGAGCGCAACCCGUAUCGUCAGUUGCCAUCAGGUAAUGCUGGGCACUCUGGCGAGACUGCCCGUGUCAAGCGGGAGGAAGGCGCGGACGACGUCAAGUCCGUAUGGCCCUUACGCCCGGGGCUGCACACGUGCUACAAUGGGCGGUACAGUGGGAAGCGAAACCGCGAGGUGAAGCGAAUCCCCAAAACCGCCCCCAGUUCGGAUCGGAGUCUGCAAUUCGACUCCGUGAAGUCGGAAUCGCUAGUAAAGGCGCAUCAGCAACGGCGCCUUGAAUUCGUUCCCGGGCAUUGUACACACCGCCCGUCACAUCAUGGAAGCCGGCUGCACCCGAAGU